rnacentral:lncRNA from 1 species
CCGUGAGAGGCAGCUGCUGCCCAACAUUCUAUUAAAAAGAACAUACGGGUUCAUUCUGUAUACAGUAAAUUUGUGCUGAAGCUCUUAAUGUCUUUAAGACAUUAUCAUGGUGGUGGCGUAGAGGACAAUAGUAGAAUACAGUGAUUAAAAGCAUAAACUUUGAUAUUAGUCAAACUGGGUUUGAGUCCUGGUUCUGCCAUAUAUCGACCAUGUGAACUCUGGGAAGUUCACUCAUUGAUUCAACAAAUGUUUGUUGAGUGCCUACUGUAUGCCAAGCCCUAAAUGAAUAAUACUGCAGUGAACAAGGCAGAUGUUAUACCCAACUUCAUAGCUCAUAUACAUAAGAGAGACAUUAAUUAAUUACCCAAGGAUUAAUUUACCUAAUGUUACAAAGAAGAAGUAAAACUGUAUUAUGAGAUUGAUUUGACCUGCUCUGCACAGUUCAGAAAGUUUCCCUAAGAAAGUUGAGAAUCUAAGGGCCCAACAUGAAUUAACUAAGCACAAAGGGGAGAAUGAGAACUUUGAGGAAAGGCAGUUGGUAGGUGGGAAAGCCCUGAAGCAGAGAGGAGGCUGGAAAGUCUGGAAUAAGGAGAACAAAGGCAGAGGUACAAGAGGAGCAGCUGGUGAUGCAAGCAGGGGCCAGAGCAUGAUGGGCCUGGAGGCCAUGUUAAGGAUUUUAGUCUUUGCCCUAAAAUCAAUGGGAAGUCUUCAAGCAAUGGAGGAACACAGUCAAAUUUGCCUUUGCUAAAGAUCAUUUGGUCUUCUUUGGAGAGCACAGAGCAGAUUGAGGCAAAAGUGAGAGGAAGAACCACUAGGAAGCUGCUGUUCUAAUAUGGGUAGUGAGAUUGCAGAGGAGUAGAGAAAUUGACUGGAUAUUUAUGAGGUAGAGUGGAAAGAACUCCAUUGGAUACGGAGGGUGAGACUGGGUCAAAGAUGACUCCCAAAUUUCCAAAUUACAGGACUGGAUGGAGAGUGGUGCCAUUUACGAAGACUGGGACUGUGGAUGAGAGUGAAUUUUGGAGGAGAAGGCCUUCAGUUCAGUUACAGUAGUCUCCCUUAAUAUGUGAUUUCACUUUCCAUGGCUUGACUGUUACCCAUAGUCAACCACGGCUCGAAAAUAUUCAAUGGAAAAUUCCAGAAAUAAACAAUUCAUAAGUUUUUAAUCACAGGGCAUUCAGAGUAGUGUGAUGAAAUCUCAUACCAUCCCACCCAGCAUGGGAAUCUUCCCUUUGUCCGGGAUAUCCACGAUGUCUACACUACUGGUCCAUUAGUCACUCAGUGGCCGUCUUGGUUAUCAGAUGGAAGAAACAUAAUAUAUAAAGGGUUUGGUACUAUCUGUGAUUUCAGGCACCCACUGGGAGUCUUGGAAUUUACCCCAAGGAGAAGCAGGGACCACUGUAUUCAACUUUGGUGACCUUCAGUUCCCUCUCCUCUAUAGUAGAGGUGACAAUAGUGUUGCCCCCAUAGGAAUAUGGUGAGAAUUCCAUUAGGUCCCGAAUGUUAAGCACUGAGCAUGGUGCCUGGCACAUGGAGAGCGGCAAUGGCUGGAGACUAAUGUUCUGCUCAUCAGCCAUUAUGUGCAGAGGCACCCGUUCUCAUAGCUCCCUGCCCUUCUCUUUGUACCACUCACUACAGUUGUCAUUUUACAUGCAUUUCUGUGAUUCUUUGAAUAAUAUUUGUCUCCUCACUCCAUUUUAAGCUCCAAAAAGGCAGGGGCUAUGAUUUUGCUUAGCAUUAUAUUCCCAACGCGGGGCAUUGUGAUGAAAAUGGACAAACAUACAGCCUGAGCAGGAAACACACGCUUCCCCAGAGCCCCAUUCAUUCCUGCAACCAGGUACCCGCAGCAUGUGCAC